GGUGAAGAACGUAGUGAAAUGCGAUAAGUAAUGCGAAUUGCAGAAUUCCAGUGAGUCAUCGAAUCUUUGAACGCACAUUGCGCCCUUUGGUAUUCCGAAGGGCAUGCCUGUUCGAGCGUCAUUAUCACCCCUCAAGCCCUCGGCUUGGUGUUGGACGGUUUGGUGGAGGCCCCCUCGGGGGCUCCUGCCCCUCCCAAAGACAAUGACGGCGGCCUCGUUGGACCCCCGGUACACUGAGUUCUUCACGGGACACGUAUCGGACACAUGGGUUUACGGGACACGGUCUGCCUCCCCUCAGGGAGAAUCUUUCUAAGGUUGACCUCGGAUCAGGUAGGGAUACCCGCUGAACUUAAGCAUAUCAAUAAGCGGAGGA
rnacentral:misc_RNA from 1 species